AAAAAUUAAAUUUCAAGGAACUAAGGUCGUGUUUGCAAAUAUUUUCAGACCAUGGAUUGUGGACGACGGAACACUAAGAAAUACAGUUCAGAUGUCCAGAUUUGAAAGAGUUAAGGAAGCUAGUAUCCUUUAUAUUUGAUCCCUAGUGUCAUACCCCAAAAUUCACCUCACCCCCAAACAACAUUCAUCAAAUCUAUGAUCCUAUUACACAUACAUACAUUCA
rnacentral:lncRNA from 1 species